rnacentral:rRNA from 1 species
UCUGGUUGAUCCUGCCGGACCCGACUGCUAUCGGAUUGGGAUUUAGCCAUGUUAGUUGUGAGUCCUUGGCUACAGGGACGCAGCGUACGGCUCAGUAACACGUAGUCAACCUGCCCUGGAGACGCGGACAAACCCGGGAAACUGGGGCCUAUCCGCGCUAGAUGACCUCAUCUGGAAGGAGAGGUCGUCGAAAAGGGCGCACGGGUAUGCUCUGUGCGAACCGCUCCAGGAUGGGACUGCGGCCGAUCAGGCUGUUGGCGGGGUAAUGGCCCACCAAACCUGUAACCGGUACGGGCUUUGAGAGAAGGAGCCCGGAGAUGGACACUGAGACAAGGGUCCAGGCCCUACGGGGCGCAUCAGGCGCGAAACCUUCGCAAUGCGCGAAAGCGUGACGAGGCUAGUCCGAGUGCUUCCUGCUAAAGGGAGCUUUUCUCGGCUGUAAAUAGGCCGGGGAAUAAGGGGAGGGCAAGUCUGGUGUCAGCCGCCGCGGUAAUACCAGCUCCUCGAGUGGUCGGGACGAUUAUUGGGCCUAAAGCACCCGUAGCCGGUUCCGUAAGUCCUCUGUUAAAUCCAGUCGCUCAACGGCUGGUCUGCAGAGGAUACUGCGGGACUAGGAGGCGGGAGAGGCGGACGGUACUCCGCGUGUAGGGGUAAAAUCCUUUGAUCCGCGGAAGACCACCAGUGGCGAAGGCGGUCUGCCAGAACGCGCUCGACGGUGAGGGGUGAAAGCUGGGGGAGCGAACCGGAUUAGAUACCCGGGUAGUCCCAGCCGUAAACGAUGCGAGCUAGAUGAUUCGAUCGCAGUUCGCGAUCGAAGUGUCGCAGGAAGCCGUUAAGCUCGCCGCCUGGGGAGUACGGUCGCAAGGCUGAAUCGUAAGAAGAUUUUUUCUUCUUGCGCAGUUCACUUAAAGGAAUUGGCGGGGGAGCACCACAGGGG